rnacentral:rRNA from 1 species
AUACGGAGGGGGCUAGCGUUGUUCGGAAUUACUGGGCGUAAAGGGCGCGUAGGCGGAUUAUCAAGUCAGAGGUGAAAGCCCUGGGCUCAACCUGGGAACUGCCUUUGAAACUGAUAGUCUUGAGUCCGAGAGAGGAUGGCGGAAUUCCCAGUGUAGAGGUGAAAUUCGUAGAUAUUGGGAAGAACACCAGUGGCGAAGGCGGCCAUCUGGCUCGGUACUGACGCUGAGGCGCGAAAGCGUGGGGAGCAAACAGGAUUAGAAACCCCAGUAGUCC